GCUGCCAAGAUGGCGCUCAAACACGCCUGCGGACA
rnacentral:tRNA from 2 species